rnacentral:rRNA from 1 species
AGUGAACGCUGGCGGUAGGCCUAACACAUGCAAGUCGAACGGCAGCACAGCAAGAGCUUGCUCUUACGGGUGGCGAGUGGCGGACGGGUGAGGAAUACAUCGGAAUCUACUUUUUCGUGGGGGAUAACGUAGGGAAACUUACGCUAAUACCGCAUACGACCUUCGGGUGAAAGCAGGGGAUCUUCGGACCUUGCGCGAUUGAAUGAGCCGAUGUCGGAUUAGCUAGUUGGCGGGGUAAAGGCCCACCAAGGCGACGAUCCGUAGCUGGUCUGAGAGGAUGAUCAGCCACACUGGAACUGAGACACGGUCCAGACUCCUACGGGAGGCAGCAGUGGGGAAUAUUGGACAAUGGGCGCAAGCCUGAUCCAGCCAUACCGCGUGGGUGAAGAAGGCCUUCGGGUUGUAAAGCCCUUUUGUUGGGAAAGAAAAGCAGCAGGUUAAUACCCCGCUGUUCUGACGGUACCCAAAGAAUAAGCACCGGCUAACUUCGUG